rnacentral:lncRNA from 1 species
AAGACUCUCAACUCUCCAAGCUAGAUGAGGAUGAUAGAGAAUCUCGACUCUUCAAUCUAGCACAUCUACUCUUGAAGAUUGUUCCAACUGAACUGGAGGUUAUGCACAUAUGUUAUACAAAUUUGAAAGCUUCAACUUCAGCAGAAAUUGGACGCUUCAUUAAGCAGAUCCUGGAAACCUCUCCGGACAUUCUUCGGGAAUAUCUUAUUCAUCUACAAGAGCACAUGGUAACUGUUAUUACCCCUAGCACCUUAGGGGCUCGAAACAUUCAUGUCAUGAUUGAGUUCCUAUUAAUUAUUCUUUAUGAUAUGCCCAAGGACUUUAUUCAUCAUGACAAAUUAUUUGAUCUUUUGGCAUUUGUUGGAGCACUUAUCAGGGAGGUAUCAACUCUUGUUCACGACUUAGAAGAGAAAUUAAGGAAUAAAGAGAGUACCGAUGAGACAAAUCGUGCAACCCUAAAGUUGCUGGAAAAGAUUGAACUCCUCAAGGAAGAUCUCAAACAUGUUUAUAUGAAAGUCCCGGAUUCAUCUCAAUGUUGCUUCCCCAUGAGUGACGGACCUCUCUUCAUGCAUCUGCUACAGACACACUUAGAUGAUUUGCUGGAUUCCAAUGCUUAUUCAAUUGCUUUGAUAAAGGAAGAAAUUGGGCUGGUGAAACAAGACCUAGAAUGCAUUAGAUCGUUCUUGGUGAAUGUUGAACAAGAAAUGUAUAAAGAUCUUUGGGCACGAGGUUUAGAUGUGGCAUAUGAGGUAAAAUAUGUCAUUGACUCAAUUAUUGUUAGAGAUAAUGGUCUCUUACAUCUUAUUUUCUCACUUCCCAUUACCAUAAAAAAGAUGAAGCUUAUCAAAGAAGAGGUCUCUGAUUUACAUGAGAAGAUUCCCAAGAACAUGAGCCUCAUUGUUGUAAACACCCCUAAGAAGCCAGUUGAAAGCAAGUCAUUGAUAACUGGUAAAAUAAUUGUAGGAUUUGAGGUAGAGACAAACUGGUUACUUCGGAAGCUCACCAGUGGACCAGCAGAUCUGGAUGUCAUUUCCAUCACUGGUAUGCCGGGUUCAGGUAAAACUACUUUGGCGUACAAAGUAUACAAUGAUAAAUCAGUUUAUAGCCAUUUUGACCUUCGUGCAUGGUGCACGGUCGACCAAGGAUAUGACGAGAAGAAGUUGUUGGAUAAAAUUUUCAAUCAAGUUAGCGACUCUGAUUCAAAAUUGAGUGAGAAUAUUGAUGUUGCUGAUANNNNNNNNNNNNNNNNNNNNNNNNNNNNNNNNNNNNNNNNNNNNNNNNNNNNNNNNNNNNNNNNNNNNNNNNNNNNNNNNNNNNNNNNNNNNNNNNNNNNAGACAAGUCAGCCUCAACCCAACAAAACGAAAGAAAUACGGAAAGUAAAACAAGAACAAGAUAAAAGCGGAAAACUUAUUCAUUCUAUUAUAACCCCAAAACAUGAUUGUCACGUGUACAAGCCACUAAUACAUAAGUGUAAAAAUGAGAGAUAAUUACAAGUCCCAAUGUCUUUGUUUCUCAGAUAGAACAAAACAUAAAAUAAGGAACAAGAGGGCAUGUCAGGAUGACAAUUAAGCAGCUACUUGUCAAAAGUCCUUGACAAGCCUCAAAAAAUAGGAGAAGAAGAAGAGCAAUCACACGGUACCGGGCUCGGAACCUACACAAGUGUAGAAGAAAGGAGUGAGUAUCAACCAACACGGUACUCACCAAGUAACCAAAUAAGCAAGGCAAAUUAGCUAGAGAUCUAAUACUCCUUUCAUCCCAACCGAAUCUCCUCAAACUACAACAUGCAUAGAAAUCAAUCCAACCUAAUAGUUUCACAAUACACAGUUCCCAAGGUUUAACCUCACAGUUCAAUAGUCACAGUUCAACAACUAAUGCAUAUCAAAUAUGUCAAUCGCAAGUAACAAGUAGAUCAAUCACAAGUAUCAAAAUGCAUCAAAGCGCAAUAGUCAACUCUUGCCGGAACCAUUUUCCUUCGGCAAGUAGAUCAAUCACAAGUAUCAAGUGCUUUGCUAGGUGGAAUUCAAGUGUUUUUUUUGUUUAAUAGUUAGAUAGUUAAAGUGCAUGUUUGUGCACUUUGAAAGUGUAAGGUCAAAGAUAUAAUUUGAAGCCAAGUUAAGGGUCCUAUUUAUGUGUUUUGCCAAAAAUAAAUGAUCGAUGGCUAUAAGAGACGUGUCACCUUAUUAUUUUAGAAAUUGCAAUCAUAUAUCAUAUAUAUAUAAGAGAACCCUAGACCCGCCUACGUGGCGCCACCACAAACCAGGAUUCCCUUUUAAUUUAUUUAUUAGCAAAACUAGCCUUCCUCUUUCAUGAAAAAGUUGUGACUUUUAUGAAAAGUUGUACGUUGAGAGUUGUGACUUUUAUGAAAAGUUGUGACUUAAUGAAUAGUUAAUGAAGAGUUAUGACUUUUAUGAAAAGUUGCGACUUAAUGAAGAGUUGUGACUUUUAUUCCCUUUUAAUUUAUUUAUUUCCAAAACUAGCCUUCCUCUUUCAUGAAAAAUUGUGACUUUUACGAAAAGUUACGACUUUAAUGAAGAGUUAUGACUUUUAUGAAAAGUUGUAAGUUGUCAGUUGUGACUUUUAUGAAAAGUUACAACUUAAUGAAGAGUUAUGAAAAGUUGCAACUUAAUGAUGAAUUGCGACUUUUAUGAAAAGUUGUGACUUUUAUGUAAGGUUGUGACCUUCCCGAAAGGUUGCAACUUUUCCAAAUAGUUGUAACCUUUCCGAUAAGGCACAAUAAACAUUUGUUCACACUACCCUUUGUUGUCUAUAAAUAGAGGUAUUUCCUCUCAUUUUAAAACAACGAAAAUUCUCCUUCUCCUUCUCCUUCUUCUUCACAAUUAAAUAUUCGUGUACUUUGCUCCUAUUGAGUGACUCACUGACACAUUGCUUAUGUUAUAGAUCGUGGUAUGUAUUUUUACAAUAAUUAAUUUAUAAUUUAUGCUUAUAUUAUUAAGGAUAAAUGAUCAGAUGUUAUAAUUUUAAUUUUCCUUUGUGAUAUUAAUGUUUGUUACUACGUAAUCUUGUAUGUAAGAUAAUAUAGUGUUUUAGUUUUAAUGACUUCCUUUGCAUUAUUAAUAUUUAUAGUGUUUUAGUUUUAAUGACUGAUAGAUUUUAAGUAUUAUUUUAUAAAUUUCGUGAUAUUAAUGUUUGUUACUACGUAAUCUUGUAUGUAAGAUAAUAUAGUGUUUUAGUUUUAAUGACUUCCUUUGCAUUAUUAAUAUUUAUAGUGUUUUAGUUUUAAUGACUGAUAGAUUUUAAGUAUUAUUUUAUAAAUUUCGUAAUAUUAAUGUUUGUAAGAUAAUAUAGUGUUUUAGUUUUAAUGACCGAUAGAUUUUAAGUAAUAUUUUAUAAAUUCCGUGAUAUUAAAUUCCUGCGCAAAGCGCGGGUUAUUUUACUAGUUAUAUAAUAUAUAGAUGAUAGACUUUUUCAUUUAUGAUAUUAAGCCAUAUAAAAAAUACAUAAAUAACUUACAUUGUUACAUUGACAAAAAUAAUUUAAAAUGAAAAUAAAAAAAUUAUAAAUACAUGUCAAAUGAAAAGGAAUAGUGCUGAACACAGAUUGUGACAUACCAAAACAAAAAAAUGAUAUCAUAGAAUUAAUAUUUUGUUUUUAAUUAUUUUUUGCGAGCAUAAUAAAAAUGAAACUCCUGAUCAUUAUGUAUUUUUUUUAUCGAAAUAGAAUAAUUAUAUUAAUUGUGCUUCAUAUAACAAAAAAAGUAGGAUAGUAAAAGAACAAAUGAGUAGUAUUGUCAAUCAUCCAACUAAGUUAUUAAUACAAACCAAAGUUAAAAAAAAUUCUACUCCCUAAUUUCUUUGCAAGUAGAGCCGUGAUAUUCUACUCCCUAUGUUAAACUCGUCAUCAUGAAACUAAAUUUGAAUUUAUAUAGACAAAAUAGAGGAAAUAAAAAGAAAGACUUGAAACUAAAAUAUUUCUUACCUUCAUGUACCUCUUUUUUGUUACUUCAUUCACAAACCAGUAUGAUAAAGAGGAGAAAAGGUAAUCUUGAAUGUGAAUGUUCAUAAAAUUAAAUAUGAAUUUAUAUAGGCAAAUAGUAGAGGAAUACCAUAAACUUACAAAUUAAAAUUUGGAGGUUAUGAACAUAAAAACUAUGGAGUGUGUUACUUCUGCUAUCGACCUGAUCUAAGAAAGAAUGCAUAUCUCUUGGGAUAGAGACGGAAUAGAUUUGAUAAUGUUUUGUAGUUAUCCAAUGGUUGAAAUGUGUGGGCUAUUUGGGUACAAUCUUCUUGGGAGGUAUGAUGUGUUCUAGUGAUCAAUCUAAUGGACUUUCAUGGUGUGAUACUAGUUGUAUAUGGAAAUGGAUACGUCGAUUGUCAAGUGAGAAUACUAACUACUUAAGGAGUUGUCAGUUGUAUCUCAUGCUCAUAUAGUUAGAUUUGAUGUUGCAUUCACGUUUGAGAAACCAACUAGUUUGUUACUACAAACGCUUGGGUUAAGUAUUAUUUAUAAGAAAGCUUUUAGUGGUGGAUCUUUGGUACGGUAUUAAUGUGUUUAGGUUGUGAAGUGUAUCUCGAGGAUUUUAAAUGAGUGAUGAUUUCAUUGUAAGCUCUAUGGAAGUGGAUCGCUAUUAGGAUGACAAGCUUAUGGGUAAGGGAAGUCCCAACAAGUAUACUUGUGUGAAGGUAAUUGAGAAUUUUAGUAAGAAAGUGUGUAUAAAAUUGAGUUAGUCUUUUGAAUCUGAUUGGUAUAGUUUGGUUUGAGAUGUCAUGCCGAUGACAAGGUUGACUUUGUGGUGAUGGCAAGGGCUAACCAAACAUGAUGGUUGUAAGAGUUUGUGAUGGAUUGUGAUUGAGAUGCAACUAUAUAAUAAGAAUGGUUGGUUAAAAGAAUUUUUUAUGGUAAUAAUGACUUGUGAAUAUCUAAUGUUGUGAUUUUUCACUAUUUGGUGAGUAAUGGGGUUGUAUGGAAGUCUUAGGAGAUGCUGGGACAUCGCUUGAAUAAAAUUUAAAGGAGCUAGAGUCAUAAUGAAAAAAAAUAGUGGGAUGUAGUGUAGCCUUUGGAAGGAGGCGAUAGCAAGGAUGUUUACUCUAUUUGCAAGGGACACAGAUGUAUAUUUAGAGGGUUGAAAAUUGGGUCCAGAGACACGUGGUUCCAUUUGUUUUGCUCUAAUUAUGGUAAUAGUGUCUCAUGUUCAUUCGAUUGGUUAAAAAUUGUUGGGUCAGAUUUCAAAAAGAAGUCUGCAUACGUUUGACUAAAGGGUGAUGAUGAAUUCUCUAAUGGUUUUGGGUUGGUUAUCUGGUAUGGUUUAAAUUAUAACAAUGAAUACAAUAAGAUCGAUGGAGAGACGAUCAAUGAUAAGCUAAGAUACGUGAAUUCAUAAAAAUCUUCAAUGUUUGGGCUAAUAUUGAUAGAUAAUGGGAUUGUGUUACACAGUUGGGAUCAAAAUUCAUGUUUUUUAAUGUGAGUCUAUGUUCGUGGUAGUAUGUUUUGUCAAGAUAUGAAUUGAUACGGUAAGAGAUGACUGAUCACAUUGAGUAUUGAGCAUUUGGAAGGACUUGUGCAUAAUUUGAGUCAUAAAUUUGGUUACUUUUGAUUGUUAAAGGACCUAAGGGGGGUUUCACGUAAUGUUUUGGUUUAGAGGAUAAGGUAAAAAUGUCAAGGGUUGUUGGUCAAAGAAUAAGAUUAGUAACCAAGUCAACAAAAGGAACAAGAAUCUGGUGUGUUGAAGAGUUCAAAAUAUUUAGAAUUUUACACCAUGGGAGGAAUUUAAGAAAAGUGAAGGAAUAAAACCUCUCAUAUAGACCCUUGGUUCAAAUUUGAAGGUAGUAGGGUUUUUCGCCUUUGAGUUUAGAAAUGACUAUGCAAUGUGAACUGGUUUGUCACAAGCUCACUAGAGGUUAUCAAUGACUUUUACAAAGAUUGAGUUUUUGUUCGAGUAACAAACAAUGAUGUGUGGAAGAUGUUGCAUUUUUGUGUUGGUUUGAAUUGUUCGAAUUAAGAAUUUCCGCAUUAUAUUAAAGUAUUAGACUUUUACUUAUAUUUUAUUUCCGCACUUUAUCGUAAUGGUUGAGUUUUAGGCUGACAUGUCUUGGUGGGAUAAGAUGAGUGCCAUCACGUUCAUUUUUGGGUCGUGACAUUUUUAGACUAAAAUAAUUUUAAAAAAAUAAAAAAUACUUUAAAGUAGAUUUUUGUGCUAUUUAUUAAAUGAAAAAAAAAAAUUAAAUGAUUUUAAGACAAUAAAAUAAUAGUUAAGGUGUAUUUUUGUAAUCCAACUUUUGACUCAGAUUCUUCUUAGUUUUGGUAAUAUAUGGUAUGAUAUGAGGAUGAUAUGUGAUAGAAAUGUGGCUUUGGUCUUUUGGCAGGUGUCAUUUUCUGCUCUUCGCAAGGACGUUGUCAAUGUUGUGGAUAUCAUGGAGAGGUUAAAGAAUGAAGAAAAUCAAAUAGCUCUUGACGUGGAUCUAAUUGGAGAUCUGAAAUUUGUGCUGGCAUCAAUUUGUGCAAACGUCCUGCUUUCUUAUUCCGAUUUGGAGCAGUUUGAAGAUGUAAUGACUUUGCUAAGAGAAAUUGUUAAAGAUCUGUGUCAAUCAAUUUUGGUUGAUGUUGACAAUAAAUACAACAUGCCUCAUGUCCUUGGUAGCCUCAUGGAUAAUAUCGAUGAUUGUAUCAGCUCAUGUCCUCAUUCUACAUCCAUGACUGAGGAGGAGUUGGACUUCCUCCUCCUGAAUCUCCAUCAUAUAUCCAAGUAUCUUGCUGAGAAGAAUUUUCCAUUAGUGACUCAGUAUGAGAUUCUUCAGAAUGUGUGUGGCAAUGUAAGAGAUUUCCAUGGGUUGAUAGUGAAUGGUUGCAUUGAGCACGAGAGUGUUGAAUAUGUCUUACCUCAGUUUCAACUCAUGGCUGAGAGAGUAGGACUCUUUCUUUGGGAGUGUCAUACACAGUCUGGACUCUCUGAGCUAGAUGAGGAUGAUCAGACUGAUAAACACUCUCACCUCAUCAUGUUAGAACAUCUACUCUUGAAGAUUAUUCCAAUUGAACUAGAAGUUAUGAACAUAGGUUAUACAAAUUUGAAAGCUUCAACUUCAGCAGAAAUUGGACGCUUCAUUAAGCAGCUCCUGGAAACCUCUCCGGACAUUCUUCGGGAAUAUUUUAUUCAUCUUCAAGAGCACAUGGUAACUGUUAUUACCCCUAGCACCUUAGGGGCUCGAAACAUUCAUGUCAUGAUUGAGUUCCUACUAAUUAUUCUUUUUGAUAUGCCCAAGGACUUUAUUCAUCAUGACAAAUUAUUUGAUCUUUUGGCAUUUGUUGGAGCACUUAUC